GACGAACGCUGGCGGCGUGCUUAACACAUGCAAGUCGAACGGAAAGGCCCUGCUUUUGUGGGGUGCUCGAGUGGCGAACGGGUGAGUAACACGUGAGUAACCUGCCCUUGACUUUGGGAUAACUUCAGGAAACUGGGGCUAAUGCCGGAUAGGAGCUCCUGCUGCAUGGUGGGGGUUGGAAAGUUUCGGCGGUUGGGGAUGGACUCGCGGCUUAUCAGCUUGUUGGUGGGGUAGUGGCUUACCAAGGCUUUGACGGGUAGCCGGCCUGAGAGGGUGACCGGCCACAUUGGGACUGAGAUACGGCCCAGACUCCUACGGUAGGCAGCAGUGGGGAAUAUUACACAAUGGGCGGAAGCAUGAUGCAGCAACGUCGCGUGCGGGAUAACGGCCUUCGGGUUGUAAACCGCUUUCGCCUGUGACGAAGCGUGAGUGACGGUAAUGGGUAAAGAAGCACCGGCUAACUACGUG
rnacentral:rRNA from 1 species